GACAGAGGUGCCGAGCGUUAGGCGGAAUCACUGGGCUUAAAGCGUGUGUAGGCGGGCGGGCAAGUACCUUGUGAAAUCCCACGGCUCAACCGUGGAACGGCUGGGUAUACUGCCUGUCUUGAGCCAACUAGGGGCGAGCGGAACAGACGGUGGAGCGGUGAAAUGCGUAGAUAUUCGCAAGAACACCAGUGGCGAAGGCGGCUCACUGGCCCGAUACUGACGCUGAGGUGCGAAAGCGUGGGGAGCAAACAGG
rnacentral:rRNA from 1 species